rnacentral:rRNA from 1 species
CGACCCCAGGUCAGGCGGUACCCGCUGAAUUUAA